GAUGAACGCUGGCGGCGUGCUUAACACAUGCAAGUCGAACGGAAAGGCCCAAGCUUGCUUGGGUACUCGAGUGGCGAACGGGUGAGUAACACGUGGGUGAUCUGCCCUGCACUUCGGGAUAAGCCUGGGAAACUGGGUCUAAUACCGGAUAGGACCACAUUUUGGAUGGUGUGGUGGAAAGUUUUUCGGUGUGGGAUGAGCUCGCGGCCUAUCAGCUUGUUGGUGGGGUAAUGGCCUACCAAGGCGUCGACGGGUAGCCGGCCUGAGAGGGUGUACGGCCACAGUGGGACUGAGAUACGGCCCAGACUCCUACAGGAGGCAGCAGUGGGGAAUAUUGCACAAUGGGCGCAAGCCUGAUGCAGCGACGCCGCGUGGGGGAUGACGGCCUUCGGGUUGUAAACUCCUUUCGCUAGGGACGAAGCGUUAUGUGACGGUACCUGGAGAAGAAGCACCGGCUAACUACGUG
rnacentral:rRNA from 1 species